rnacentral:misc_RNA from 1 species
AACCUUAUGGACCUGCGGGCGUAUACCUGCGGAGGGAUCAUUACACAAUACAAUAUGAAGGCUGUCCGCAGCUGGAGUAUUUUAUUACCCUUGUCUUUUGCGCACUUGUUGUUUCCUGGGCGGGUUCGCUCGCCACCAGGACCACCAAAUAAACCUUUUUUAUGCAGUUGCAAUCAGCGUCAGUACAAACAAUGUAAAUCAUUUACAACUUUUAGCAACGGAUCUCAGAUCGGAAGAGCA